rnacentral:rRNA from 1 species
UACGUAGGGGGCAAGCGUUGUUCGGAAUUACUGGGCGUAAAGGGCGCGUAGGCGGCACGACAAGUCGGAAGUGAAAGCCCGGGGCUCAACCCCGGAAUGUCUUUCGAAACUGUCGAGCUAGAGUGCAGAAGAGGCAACUGGAAUUCCCAGUGUAGCGGUGAAAUGCGUAGAUAUGCGGAGGAACACCGAUGGCGAAGGCAAUCCCCUGGGCCUGCACUGACGCUCAUGCACGAAAGCGUGGGGAGCAAACAGG